UAACACAUGCAAGUCGAACGGUAGCACAGAGAGCUUGCUCUCGGGUGACGAGUGGCGGACGGGUGAGUAAUGUCUGGGAAACUGCCUGAUGGAGGGGGAUAACUACUGGAAACGGUAGCUAAUACCGCAUAACGUCGCAAGACCAAAGAGGGGGACCUUCGGGCCUCUUGCCAUCAGAUGUGCCCAGAUGGGAUUAGCUAGUAGGUGGGGUAACGGCUCACCUAGGCGACGAUCCCUAGCUGGUCUGAGAGGAUGACCAGCCACACUGGAACUGAGACACGGUCCAGACUCCUACGGGAGGCAGCAGUGGGGAAUAUUGCACAAUGGGCGCAAGCCUGAUGCAACCAUGCCGCGUGUAUGAAGAAGGCCUUCGGGUUGUAAAGUACUUUCAGCGGGGA
rnacentral:rRNA from 1 species